rnacentral:lncRNA from 1 species
AGCAUUCCUGGGUAGGCUUUCUACCAAUAAAAGGAGAGGAGAGGGAUAUUUCUCUCAUUAGAGAGAGAAAGAGAGAGUUUUAGAGAGAGAAAGCAGAGAGCAAAUUCCUAUGUUUGUUUAGUAAAGAGUAAGAGAGAGGCAGAGGCAGCAUUCUUGGGUAGACUUUCCUCUAAUAAAAGAAGAAAAAGAGGGAUCUUUCCUCAUUAGAGAGAGAAAGAGGGAGAGUUUUAGAGAGAGGAAGAGAGUAUUAGAGAGAGAAAGAGAAGGGCGUUUGCAGUUACAUCUUAUGGGGAUUCUCACAUAUGACCUUCUACUUUUAUGAGGGUUUAAGGAUCAACCAAAAAGAAUAGAAAGGAGGCCCAAACCAGACAUGCUUAGAACCAGGCUCAAAAAGCUGUGCUUUUGUUUGGUUCUAUCAUAGAAAAACAAUAAAAAGAUCCCCAACUUUUCAUCAUCUGGGUAUCUCACUCUUUCUCUUUCUCUCUCUAAAAAUCAGAGAAAUGGGUUUGAGACAAUGGCCUCUCUUCUUCUUCCUCUCAGUGUUAAUUUUCUCUCUCAUCACUGGUUCAUGCCAUGGAGACAGCUUCCCUUCAAAGCUCACAAGGUUUGAAUAUGGGUUUGGCUCAGCUUUGGGGCUUGUUGAGUCCUUUAAGAGAGAUGGAUCAAAAGGUGAAGGGCAAACGGUGUUUGAAUCUGAUAAAAGGAAGGUUCACACAGGUCCAAACCCUCUUCACAACAGAUGAGAGCUAAGAAGAUCCUCCAUUUUUGGCUCUCUUUCUCUCUCUACCUUCUCUCUAUCUCUUUCAUCUGGUUCUGCAUUUGGAGAUAUGAUGAAACAGAUAGGUCAGUUUCCUCACAGAUACACAUAAGAAAAUCUCUUGUAUCUAUUCUUACAUUAAUAUUAAUUUUCAUUUUAUUAUCAUUGAUCUUGGUUGUAGUUAUAUUUGCCUCUGAUUUGUUCCUUGUUUUGUUCAGUGCUCUCUCUCUCUCUCUCUCUCUCUCUUGAUUUGUGUGUAUUUUUUCAGUUGAUUUGUACAUAAAUAUUUUUUUUUGUGUUCCUGAAGUUUAUAUCAAUGAAUCACUGAUGAAUGGCCAAAAGCUUUUUUGGGGUUCUCCUGUGAUUGUGCAGUUUCAUUUUUCUGGAUCCAAGUUUGUUAUUUUGUGAUAAAAACAACUUCAUGUUUUUCCUUCUCUCUCUAGAUUCUAGAGAGAGAAACCAAAGAGUAGCUCCUCAAAUUCAUUGCUAUCUG